GGUAAUACGUAUGUUCCAAGCGUUAUCCGGAUUUAUUGGGCGUAAAGCGAGCGCAGACGGUUAUUUAAGUCCGAAGUGAAAGCCCACAGCUUAACUGUGGAAGUGCUUUGGAAACUGGAUAACUUGAGUGCAGUAGAGGAGAGUGGAACUCCAUGUGUAGCGGUGAAAUGCGUAGAUAUAUGGAAGAACACCAGUGGCGAAGGCGGCUCUCUGGACUGUAACUGACGUUGAGGCUCGAAAGUGUGGGUAGCAAACAGGAUUAGAUACCCUGGUAGUCCACACCGUAAACGAUGAGUGCUAGAUGUUUUGAGGGUUUCCGCCCUUAAGUGUCGCAGCUAACGCAUUAAGCACUCCGCCUGGGGGAGUACGACCGCAAGGUUGAAACUCAAAGGAAUUGACGGGGACCCGCACAAGCGGUGGAACCAUGGUGGUUUAAUUCGAAGCAACGCGAAGAACCUUACCAGGUCUUGACAUCCUUU
rnacentral:rRNA from 1 species